AGACAUGGUGACUCACAUCCAUACUCCUAGCUACUGGGGAAGAUUGAGGCGGAUCUCACGAGCUCAGCAGUUCUGAGCUGUAGUGGGAUAAGUUGAUAUGAUGGCUGUAUGAAGUCCGGCAUCAAUAUGAUGAGCCCCUGGGAGGGGAGGGGGAGCCACCAGGUUGCCUACAGAGGAGUAAACUAUCAUAGGUUGGAAGCAGAGCAGGGUCAGCCUCCUGUACUGAUCAGCAGUGGGAUCAAGCCAUGAGUAGCAUCUAUGCUUCUAGCCUGGGUAAGAUAGGGAAAUCAAGUCU
rnacentral:SRP_RNA from 1 species